rnacentral:rRNA from 1 species
UACGUAGGGGGCGAGCGUUGUCCGGAGUUACUGGGCGUAAAGGGCGUGCAGGCGGUGCGGUAAGUUUAGCGUGACAGUCUCCGGCUUAACUGGAGAAGGCCGCUGAAAACUGCUGGACUUGAGGGCCAGAGAGGGACAUAGAAUUCCGGGUGGAGUGGUGAAAUGCGUAGAUAUCCGGAGGAAUACCAAAGGCGAAGGCAGUGUCCUGGCUGGCAACUGACGCUGAGGCGCGAAAGCUAGGGGAGCGAUCAGG